UAAAGAAUUUCGGUCAUCGAUGGGGAUGCGUUCCAUUAGCUUGUUGGCGGGGUAACGGCCCACCAAGGCAUCGAUGGAUAGGGGUUCUGAGAGGAAGGUCCCCCACAUUGGAACUGAGACACGGUCCAAACUCCUACGGGAGGCAGCAGUGAGGAAUAUUGGUCAAUGGGCGCUAGCCUGAACCAGCCAAGUAGCGUGAAGGAUGACUGCCCUAUGGGUUGUAAACUUCUUUUAUAUGGGAAUAAAGUGCAGUAUGUAUACUGCUUUGCAUGUACCUUAUGAAUAAGGAUCGGCUAACUCCGUGCCAGCAGCCGCGGUAAUACGGAGGAUCCGAGCGUUAUCCGGAUUUAUUGGGUUUAAAGGGAGCGUAGGCGGGUUGUUAAGUCAGUUGUGAAAGUUUGCGGCUCAACCGUAAAAUUGCAGUUGAUACUGGCAUCCUUGAGUACAGUAGAGGUAGGCGGAAUUCGUGGUGUAGCGGUGAAAUGCUUAGAUAUCACGAAGAACUCCGAUUGCGAAGGCGGCCUGCUGGACUGUAACUGACGCUGAUGCUCGAAAGUGUGGGUAUCAAACAGGAUUAGAUACCCUGGUAGUCCACACAGUAAACGAUGAAUACUCGCUGUUUGCGAUAUACAGUAA
rnacentral:rRNA from 1 species